AAGAAAAAGAAGAAAAGAAAAAGAAGAAGAAGAAGAAGAAGAAAAGAAAACAAAAUUUACAAACAUUACUGUCAAUGAAUAUAAUCUGAAUAACCGGCUGCCCUGACCUAGUUCCGAUCGUAACUCCUAUCUCCGGCAAAGAGAAUAAGAGACUGUGUCCUGAAGUAGUGAAAAUUGCCGCAGGGAAUCGCCGCCCUCCGAGAACCACAUGCGUAUUAACAAUAAAAGAGAGAGAGGAAGAGAGAGAGAGAGAGAGAGAGAGAGAGAGAGAGAGAGAGAGAAUCCGUAAUAUGUUACGUUGUCUUGACUAGCGUUUAUCAACUUCUGUACUAUAGUUAUAAACUUUGCGCAUUUUUGAUAGAUAAUUAGAAAAAAAUAGAGAAACAAAUUUGAAAAUUAAUCAAACGUUCGUAUAUUUUUAUAACAGUAAAUAAACAAUCGCACAAAAGAAAAGUUUUAAAUAUUAAUGGUGGUAUGAUAUCACGCGUUGCAUCAAACGAAUGAAUUAUUAGUGAUGAAUAUUUAAUAAACAAUGCAGGAAAGUCUUAUUUUGUAAUCAAUAUGUAGAAUCGAUAAGCUUCGGGAUCGAAAGUUCAUGAUCUAACUAGUUUCAGUAGAGAUGGUCAACGACUCUGAUCACUGAACAGCGAGACUGCGUCUAUUUCUACCUGAUAGCGAUGGCGGAUAUUGUAUUAUGUUACGACGAGACAGAGGAGGUUGCGUAGCCAAUGAUGCGAGAUGGUGAAGUGCGAGGUCAUCUCCACGGACUCUCCUUCAACGAUUCAACUCGUGCACUUGUCUGCUAUAAAUGCAGACCUUGUUGAAUAAAAAGGACUGAGAAAAGAUACGCAAGGACAUACGUACGAGAGAGAAAAUUAAUUCUACUCGUAAAUGGUACUUCCGAGAAUUUCUAUUAAAUUUGCAAGAUGAUUUUCUUAUAUUUUAAUUUUCAGUAACAUCAAUUCUUCCACGAUUUACACAUAACGAUUAUUAUUCUUUCUUUUUUCUUUUUGAAUGGAUCCUCGUAAACUAUAAUUUCGACGAAAAUACAUACGAGGAUAAAACGAUACAGAUCUGAAAUAAUUUUAUCGAAAGUUAACGAGUAAGUUUCAAACGAAACAAAGAAUCCACAUUUUAGUGCUUCGAUCCUUCGGAAUAAUUCUUACGUAAUAUACGAAGCCAUAUAUAAGAGGGACAACACAUAUCGAUGAGUCAAAUGCUUUUACGUAAAUGUUAAAGCCAAUUUUUGUAGUAUACUGCUCUUAUUUCACGAGUAUGUAGAUAUUCAACAUUCUUUUUAUUUAUUAAAAUAAUUCCAACGUGACAGAUCAUAAACCGUGACUCGUUUUAACUUUAUUGCUUUCCAAAUAUAUGACUUAUUAGAUAAGAACAUGACUUAUUGAUCAUAAACACAAAACAUAAACGUGAUAAGUACGAAAAAGUAAAAACAUUUUGUAGGCUUCGUUAUAAAGAUUAUGAUAUUAAAUAUGGUAUUAUUCAAAUAACACGGACGUCACAACAACACAACAACAAUCGAUUACUCACGCAUUAAUGUAAAGAAGUAUCCAAUAAAGAAAAGCCGCUUGAUUUAAUUAUAUAAUAUGUAACAGAAUAAAUUUUAUUAAGGAGUUUA